rnacentral:misc_RNA from 1 species
GGGAGCGGCUCGCCGACCGCGAAGCGCGUGAGCGCGGACGCCACGACGCCGAGCGACCGGAGGUAGGCGGCGUGCGAGGCCGCCAGGUGGUGCCGCAGGCGCGCGGCCUCCCGCAUCAGCCGCCGCCGCUCCCGGCACCGCCUCGUGUGCUCGCGCGCCGCGUCCCCUUCCCGCGACGAGGCGGCCCCCAUUCUUUGCUUGCUAAGCUGCUGCUGCAGCUGCGCGAGCUAGCUAGCGUAUGUAGUGGAGCUGGAGGCGAGGUAGACAGAGGAGCUGCGCGCCGAGAAGGUUUAGGAGGGUUUAGU